UGGAGCUAGUGUAGUUUAUCGACGACAACGCGAACGUAACCUUACCGAGGGUCUUGACACUCCCUGACCGCGUAUAGAAGUACGUUUCACCUCGGGUGACAGGGAGACAGGUGGUGCAUGGUUGUCGUCAGCUCGUGUCGUGAGAUGUUGGGUUAAGUCCCGCAACGAGCGCAACCCCUACGUUUAGUUGCUAACGGGUGGAGCCGAGCACUCUAGACGAACUGCCGUUGACAAAACGGAGGAAGGUGGGAUGACGUCAAAUCAUCAUGCCCCUUAUGUUCUGGGCUACACACGUGCUACAAUGGCCGGUACAGACGGAGGCGAAGCCGCGAGGCGGAGCAAAUCCGAAAAGCCGGUCUCAGUUCGGAUUGCAGGCUGCAAUUCGCCUGCAUGAAGUCGGAAUCGCUAGUAAUCGCAGGUCAGCAUACUGCGGUGAAUACGUUCCCGGGCCUU
rnacentral:rRNA from 1 species